rnacentral:rRNA from 1 species
GACGAACGCUGGCGGCGUGGAUUAGGCAUGCAAGUCGAACGGUAUCAUCCUUUCGGGGGUGAGAGAGUGGCGAACUGGUGAGUAACACGUAGGUUAUCUACCCUCAAGACGGGGACAACCCAGGGAAACUUGGGCUAAUACCGGAUGUGAGCAACUUUUAGUUGUUUGAAAGGUGGCGUAAGCUGUCGCUUGGGGAUGAGCCUGCGUCCUAUUAGUUAGUUGGUGAGGUAACGGCUCACCUAGGCAAUGAUAGGUAGGCGGCCUUAACGGGUGGUCGCCCACACUGGGAUUGAGAUACGGCCCAGACUCCUACGGGAGGCAGCAGUCGAGAAUAGUCUACAAUGGUCGGAAGACUGAUAGUGCGACGCCGCGUGAACGAUGAAUCCCUUCGGGGUGUAAAAGUUCUUUUAUAUGUGAGCAGUGCUUCUUAUAUUAACAGUAUGGGGAGAGAGAUAUUAGCAUAUGAAUAAAGCAACGGCUAAACUCCGUGCCAGCAGCCGCGGUAAA